rnacentral:rRNA from 1 species
GAUGAACGCUGGCGGCGUGCUUAACACAUGCAAGUCGAACGAUGAAGCCCGUGCUUGCACGGGUGGAUUAGUGGCGAACGGGUGAGUAUCACGUGAGUAACCUGCCCUUGACUCUGGGAUAAGCCUGGGAAACUGGGUCUAAUACCGGAUAUGACCAGUCCUCGCAUGAGGUGCUGGUGGAAAGAUUUUAUCGGUCUUGGAUGGACUCGCGGCCUAUCAGCUAGACGGCGAGGUAACGGCUCACCGUGGCGAUGACGGGUAGCCGGCCUGAGAGGGUGACCGGCCACACUGGGACUGAGACACGGCCCAGACUCCUACGGGAGGCAGCAGUGGGGAAUAUUGCACAAUGGGCGCAAGCCUGAUGCAGCGACGCCGCGUGCGGGAUGACGGCCUUCGGGUUGUAAACCGCUUUCAGCAGGGAAGAAGCUUUUGUGACGGUACCUGCAGAAGAAGCGCCGGCUAACUACGUGCCAGCAGCCGCGGUAAUACGUAGGGCGCGAGCGUUAUCCGGAAUUAUUGGGCGUAAAGAGCUCGUAGGCGGCUUGUCGCGUCUGCUGUGAAAGCCCGGGGCUUAACCCCGGGUGUGCAGUGGGUACGGGCAGGCUAGAGUGCAGUAGGGGAGACUGGAAUUCCUGGUGUAGCGGUGAAAUGCGCUGAUAUCAGGAGGAACACCGAUGGCGAAAGCAGGUCUCUGGGCUGUUACUGACGCUGAGGAGCGAAAGCAUGGGGAGCGAACAGGAUUUAGAUACCCUGGUAGUCCAUGCCGUAAACGUUGGGCACUAGGUGUGGGGGGACAUUCCACGUUUUCCGCGCCGUAGCUAACGCAUUAAGUGCCCCGCCUGGGGAGUACGGCCGCAAGGCUAAAACUCAAAGGAAUUGACGGGGGCCCGCACAAGCGGCGGAGCAUGCGGAUUAAUUCGAUGCAACGCGAAGAACCUUACCAAGGCUUGACAUGGACCGGAUCGCUGCAGAGAUGUAGU